AUCAAGCUGACGAGUCCCAAAUAGGACGAAACGAGCGUCGGACUGGAU
rnacentral:hammerhead_ribozyme from 1 species